ACCGGAUUCCCUUAGUAACGGCGAGUGAAGCGGGACAAGCUCAGACUGAAAAGCUUCGGCGUUGUAGAUCUGGAGAAGUGAAGUCAGCAUUAAGUUUCGGAUAAAGUCUCUUGGAACAGAGUGCCGUGGAGGGUGAUAGCCCCGUUCAUGUCUGAAACGAAGUGUGUACGACUCGCUUUCUAAGAGUCGAGUUGUUUGGGAUUGCAGCUCUAAGUGGGUGGUAAAUUCCAUCUAAAGCUAAAUAUAAAUGGGAGACCGAUAGCGAACAAGUACCGUGAGGGAAAGAUGCAAAGAACUUUGAAAAGAGAGUUAAAUAGUACCUGAAAUUGCUGAAAUGGAACCGAUGGGAAGCAGUGUCGGCUGGGUGGUACUUGUACCAUUUAGCAAGUUAGGCUUCUUUAAUUAUGUGGGAAAAGCUUCUAAACCAGUUUGGGUUAGUUUUGCUGUCAUGUGAUUGAAGGACUCUGACGAAAUGCUUCUUAUCAACCCGUCUUGAAACACGGACCAAGGAGUCUAACAUGUGUGCGAGUGCUCGGGGUAAAACUCCCAGCGCGGAAUUAACGUAAAGGUGGAUUUAUUCACUGA
rnacentral:rRNA from 1 species